rnacentral:lncRNA from 1 species
GAGAUACAUCACCAACAAGUCAUCUAUCUUUUUAAUGAUGAAUAAAAUCUGCACCACUGACAAAACCAAUUAUGCAAAGUGAGACUUGUGUACCGAAUGUCAGAGAUAACCUUAUAGUCGCGUCACUAAAACUGGAAGGAGCAAGUCGGUACACAAAGAAACGAUUCUCGCUGGAGCCUUCUACGGGUUAGUGGAGUGCUGCACUUGUUUCAAACUGCCGAGAAAACUGCAAUUGAAUGGGAGAAAAACAAUAUGAAGUUUCAGAUAGAUAUUCAGAAGAGAGCAGAGUGCAAAGCUACUACAUGAAUACUGAUCCUAAUCUUGCAAGGAAAACUAUAUCGGACCUUCAAGUUCCCAACGU